rfam:Myotis brandtii contig258621, whole genome shotgun sequence.
GGUGGUUCUCGGUGACACACCCCGGAAUCGGGUUCUUUCUUCUCUGGCUCUGGGUGCGUCACCCAAGAACCAAG